UUGAUAAAAUAAUUAAAAUUUAAUUAAAUAACAACCAAUAAUUUAUAUUUUACAGCGGGAUAUGUCCGAGCCCAGGGUGACCUCCAGACCACCCUGAAGUGACCCCAGUGACCCCACUCAGCCACGGGACCCCCCUGACCCCCCCAAAUUCCAGCUCAGCCGUGGGGGCUGCGGGGCCUGCAUCCUGCACCCCCCAGGGGUCCUGAAUGGGGCGACCCCAACUCCAAACAGGGGAAUUUGGGGGUUUUGGAUCCAAUUCAAGAAUUUGGAAAAAAAUUCAAGGUGACUGACAGCUCUGACACCAGGUGCUGCAGGGACCAGAAAUUCAGCUCUUGGAUCGUGGAAGUUUCAUUAAAUACAAAUAAAAAUCUCUAUUUUUGUUUCAAA